AACGAACGCUCGCGGCGUGCUUAACACAUGCAAGUCUCGCGGGCUUGGAGCAAUCCAAGUCAGCGGCAGACGGGUGAGUAACACGUGGGUAAUCUACCCUUGAGUGUGGAAUAACACAGGGAAACUUGUGCUAAUACCGCAUGACACCGUCCGGUCAUUGGAUCGGGCGGUCAAAGCUGGGGAUCGCAAGACCUGGCGCUUGAGGAGGAGCCCGCGGCCGAUUAGCUUGUUGGCGGGGUAAUGGCCCACCAAGGCUCCGAUCGGUAGCCGGCCUGAGAGGGUGUCCGGCCACACUGGGACUGAGACACGGCCCAGACUCCUACGGGAGGCAGCAGUGAGGAAUUAUGCGCAAUGGGGGAAACCCUGACGCUGCGACGCCGCGUGGGUGAUGAAGGUCUUC
rnacentral:rRNA from 1 species